UACGUAGGGGGCAAGCGUUGUCCGGAAUCAUUGGGCGUAAAGAGCGCGUAGGCGGCCCUGUAAGUCCGCUGUGAAAGUCAAGGGCUCAACCCUUGGAUGCCGGUGGAUACUGCAGGGCUAGAGUCCGGAAGAGGCGAGUGGAAUUCCUGGUGUAGCGGUGAAAUGCGCAGAUAUCAGGAGGAACACCGGUGGCGAAGGCGGGUCUCUGGGCCGAUACUGACGCUGAGGAGCGAAAGCGUGGGAGCGAACAGG
rnacentral:rRNA from 1 species